rnacentral:rRNA from 1 species
UACGUAGGGGGCUAGCGUUGUCCGGAAUCAUUGGGCGUAAAGAGCUCGUAGGUGGCCUGUCGCGUCGGCUGUGAAAACUCGGGGCUCAACUCCGAGCUUGCAGUCGAUACGGGCAGGCUAGAGUUCGGCAGGGGAGACUGGAAUUCCUGGUGUAGCGGUGAAAUGCGCAGAUAUCAGGAGGAACACCGGUGGCGAAGGCGGGUCUCUGGGCCGAUACUGACACUGAGGAGCGAAAGCGUGGGGAGCGAACAGG